AGAGAGAAAUGUUCAACCAAAACAUUUGUUGGAUGAGUAAAAAAAGAAACAUGAUCCUUUCCCUCCUGAAGCUUACAGUCUAUCAUGGAAUGCAGACAAGUCAACAGAUCUUUAUCUUUCAUUAAUAAUCGAUAUAGAAAAUAUAAACAUAAGGUGCCAUGGAAGAAUAUCUUCAAUCAAAUCCAGCAAAAUACCUGUUCUCUACGCUAGGUGCACAGGUGUCUUGACUCAUUGCUGCCACACAUUGGCCACUCUCAUCGAAUUCAGAGGACUCAUGGAAACCACACACCCACUAGCUGUUCCCUCAGAAGCCCCUGAAUUACCAACAAAAAGCUGGUUCGUCUCGGCUACUGAGAAAUAAUUUGUCAUGUUUCAUCCCCUAAAUGAAAGAUGCCAGACUGAAUGCCCGUCUGAGAAAGGGACAGAGCAUGAGAUCUAACAAAGAACCUCAGCACUCAAAAAGUUUACCACUAAAAUGGAGUGACAAGGAAAGCAGGGGAAGAAAAAUCACUACUGGAAGUACUGCUACUAUCACCACUGCUCCUGGGAGGAAUCACCGCAGCAGCUGUUCAUCAAGUGCUUCCUGCAGCCAAUCACUAGGCUAAAAGCACCUGACAUGCCACAUCACAGCAGCUUGCUAACAAUAGCUGCUGUGAUUCUCACUUAACAAUAAAAGUGUGGCUCAGCGAGGCCAAGGAGCUUUUUCAAAAUCUUGUCACUAAUAAAUCUCAGAGUCCAGGCUUGAACCCAUGUCAACCUGACCCUAACGCCUUGGUCUUCACCUGAGUGCUUGCUAUGUGCCAGGCAUUGUCAACAGUACUUUAUAUUAAUUGUGUCACUUAAUUGUUAAACAGCCCUAUCAGUUCUCCAUCAAUAUUCCCUGAAGGGAAUGGGGCCUUGGAAAGAUUAGUGAACUGGACCCCUGACAUGAUCUCUUCCUUCCAAUACUUACAAUAAACUACUGUUUAGUAUGGAGAAGAAAGACUAGUGGAUAUUGAAGAACUGGCAGAAUAAACACUUGCAUAGAUGGAAGAUGUACAGAGGAUGUAUGCGAUACAGGACUUUAAAGAAUGCUGACAUCUUUGUGGCUGAAAUUAAUUGGAAAUUUUAAAGUUCUUGAAAAAUGUCGAGUUGAUUUCUCAGAUGUUUUACUCACCGAUAAUAUGUGCUUUAUCCACGUCAGUGCACUUUUGCCAUAAAUUAUUGUUGUUAUCACUAUUAUUAUUUUACUUUGCCAAUCUGAAAUCCGUCCUGGAAUUUGGCACAUGUAUGGGAUAUGGAUAGAAAAUAAGAGCAAAGAGGAAUUCAAGAUAAUGAGGCAAUAUAAACAAAAGUUGAAAAGAGAAAAUGAGCAUGCAGUGCCUAGAGAUGCCAAGGAAUCCAGAUCACUGAGGUCGGAUAGAUGUGUCUUUCCAGAAUUUGAUGAGGUUAACCAGGUAGAGCCAGAUGGUAGAGAUCCUUGAAUACCAGGCAAGGGAGUUCAUCUCUCCACCUGUAAGCAUGAAGGAGCCACGGGAGAUUUUGCAAAGGGAAUGACCAAAACGAAAAUGGCAUUUAGGAAAUGAGUUUGCCAGAAGUACCUGGGAGAAAUGGGGACUAGGCACUGAGAAUGUAAUUCAUAGCACAGCAGAACAGAUACUAAAAGAUCGUUCUGGAAGCAGAAGGGCUGGUUUCCAGCUUUUCUGAGGUUGUUUCACUGUGGGUAACUGCUAAGGCCUUCACCCUUGAUGCCAGAGGUGCUGAAACACAUUGCCACACGGCGAAAGAAGUGCCCUAUUGGCCCAAACACAUUGAAUAAACAUCUACCUCAAACCUU
rnacentral:lncRNA from 1 species